GCAAGUUUUCAAUAAAAAUGGAGUUUAAACACAUUGAGAAAUCAGUUGUACAUAUUACGUGAAAUAUAAUAAAAUAUAACAUAAUAAAAUAUAACAUAACCUAAUCUUUUUGAGUGAAGACAUACUGCACUUUCAUAUUUAUAAAAGGUAAUAUUGUUGUAAGCGCAGAAAAUAGAGAAACUGGU